GAGGGGUAACUCGGCUCGGCUCCAUCCCAUCCCCCCAGUUGCCAAAGCUUCUACCACAGUCCUUCCCUCCACCAGAAAAAAAUCCAGCACGAAACUCUAGCCCGACCCAAAGCACUCGGCAUCAAAGGAGGAACUGAGGCGGAGGGAGGCUCUCCCCGCAUUGGGCUCCAGCUGAAAGGGGCUCCGGUCCAGCUCCGGGGGCAGACGGCUCCCCCUCACCACCACAUCUUGUUCUCAUUUUGCACCCCUGACAUCAGCCGCCGCCGGAAUCUCCUUGUUGUGCCUCCAGCCCGCGGGGUGGGGGUGGGUGGGAGGGUGAAGACCUGGUCUCCACCCCCCCCCAUCUCCUUCUGGGUCAGUAAAGACCUCAGCCCCAGAACCAGGUGGUGGGGAUCACACCCUAGAAUCCGCCGCAAACUUUGGGGCGGGGGCAGGAGGAAAACCCAGGAGAUUGCGGUCUCCCCUCCUCCGUCCCCGCAGCUUCCUCCCUACCCCAGCCCCCAAACUCGGAAACCAAACCCAGCUCGCUAACCCGCGGCGGGUGGAGGACGGCGUCCGGGUUCCCGAAGCUCCCCACAUCUGGAGGAUGACGACCCUCCGGUGCCCACAUCUGGACAGCAUCCAGCUGCAAACCAGAGGGGCUCUAGGUACCCCGUCCCCCGUCUCAGACCCCCCAUCCCGGCCGGGGCACCCCGAAGGAUAUGGGUUACAGACCGUGCGGAGGCACCAACUCCGCGGGCGGCUGUCCUGGCUCAAGUAGAAGAAAACCACGGGGGCCAGUGCGGGGUACGGCAGCCCCUCGGCCUCGGAGUCCGCGCUGCCCGGGUCCUUCUCCGCCGACCCCGGCCCCGGCCGGCCCCCGGCCCCGGACAGGUCGUUGAGCCGCAGGGCGCUCUGGGGCUGUCCUGACUCCUCGGUGCCCGCGCCAUCCUCCUCGUCCAUCCUCGGCCGGCCGGGGCCCGGGAGUUCGGAGAGGGGCAAGGGCGCCCCUCGGAGGAGGGGUCCUCACGCAGACGGGGGACCCCGGCGGGGGCGCAUCGGGGGAGCCCUAGGGCGCAGGCUGAGCCCCCGGCAGGGCCAGUUCAGCCCCGCUCGCAUGCUGCCCGCGGGGCGCCGGCUCCAGGGCAGCCCCCCGGCGAGCAACCCACUUCCCGGGAUCCCCGGGCACCCCGGGCCAGCCAGCCAGGUCCCCCUCACUUUGUCCGGUUUCUUCGCUUGGCGCCCAGGCUCCUGUGCCCGGAUCCGCGCUCUCUUCGGCGAAGCGGCCCCGAGAUAGGGAGAAGGAAAGGGGGGUGCCCAGCAGAGGAGAACGGGGGUCCGCGGAGGGCGCCCCCUCUUCCCGCGGCACAGCUGGAGCUGGAUCUAAGGGGUCAGCAUCGUCCCAGCCCCGCACCAGCGGCGGCGGGGGAGGGGAGGAGCGGCUCCCGGCGAGUGGGUUUGGGGGGGUGGGGGGCGGCUCCUUCCUCCGCCCCGCGGCGGGCGCACCGCCCGAGGGGGUGGGCGGGGAGACCGUGGGGGGCCGUCCCGGGCGGGGGUGGAGGCGGAGAUGCCACCGCCGCCGCCGCCGUCGCCCUCGCCGCCGCCGCCGCGGUGGCCGCCGAUGCCGUAGCUGUCGCCGGCGCUACUGCCUCCUCCUCCGGCCGAGACGCGGAGAGAGCGAGCGAAAGCGGCGGCGAGGAGCCCGGCGCGCGCCACAGCUGGAUCGCUCACUCCAACUUCAAGCCUUGGCCCCGCCCCUCCCCGGCCGCGCUCACAACCAAUCGCCGCUCGCCGCCGGGCCCGAGCCGCAAGCCCAUUGGUCGGCCGCCGCGGCAGUGCGGGCGGGGCUGCGGGGCGGGGGGGAGAACACAGCUGGAAUCCGGUUCCCACCCCAAAUCUCGGAACCGCCCCUCUCCCCGCCCCUUGGCCCUAGGUCCGCUCCCGAAGGCUGGAGCCAAUGAGAUGGCUUCCCAGGCCGAACCCACUUUUCGAUUGGCCGCUGGGGUCUUUGGGACGCCCCCCGAGGGAGCCCCAGAGAAUCAGAGUGUUCAGCGCCUAGUCCUGGGGUAGCACUUCAAGUCCUGGGCAUCCUUUGUUCAGGACCCCGAAUUGGACAGCAGCCAGAGGGCGGAGCUCAGCUCUGGUCAGGUCUGAGAAGACGAGACAGUGAGUACGGGGACUAGGGGGGCGACUGGGUUUCCAGAGCCAAAGUCCUGGUCUCCACCCAGUUCAUCGCCUACGGAGUCGCGGGACCCGGGAGCGGGGCUGGGUAGGAGGUGAGCAGAGAGGAUGUCUCGGGGGCGGGGCCUCGGCUGGGGGCGGAGCUCAGGGGAGGGGCGUAGCCAGGGAAAGGCCGAGGUAGGCCAGGUCUGCACUUGGCCUCCACCAGCUUCCUCGGGUUAUUGGAUCCUGCCGCCCUGACCCACGUCAAGAUUGACCCUGACAUCCUAACUUAGCGUACAGGCCCUAAGAUCCAGCCUGUGCCCUUAGAAAGGCUGAAGGGUAUAGACUCCACUCUCGGGGCUUGUGCUUGAACUCGUAGCCCAGCCAGGUCACCCUGAACUGCAGAGCCUGAGUUCCAGCGAAGGGACCUGGCUCGAGUGUUUGGGAGGAGGUAGCAGCACCCACUGGGCUUUAUCAACUCCUGCAGAGAGCGCUGACCUGCCUCUCACCCUGUGCCUCAGUUUCUCCCACUGGAGUCUCCGUUUGGCUUAGGGAAAGGUUGACCACAGGACAGUAGCUUUGCGGAGUUCCCUCCUCGCCUUCCCGUGCGCGCACAUCCUCACCCAGACCUCAGCCUCGCCCCGCCUCUCCAUACCCAGUUCUAGGGCGCAGGCAGCUCUAGUUCCCUCCCGCCACCUGCGUCACCCCUCAAACUGGAUACCGUAGAACCGGGUCCACGAGGAUAACUGGACACGGGGAAGGAGCAGGGCACAGAGGAUUAGAGCCCAACCUCGGCGGGAGAGGCCGAUGGUGGGCCGCUGACCCCCAGCUCCCCGGCUUCCUUCCAGCUGCCCGAGCCGCGCGGCCCACGCAGCCCUGCGGGCCCUCCACGGCGGCGUGGGUGGGGGCCGCCUCAACCUCCUCCUGGCCGGUGGCGCAGAGCGGCGGCUGCAGCGCCUUAGCUUCCCCGGUUGCCCUUUCGCCGAAUCCGGGCACCGAGUUGUGCAAAUGAGGCCGGGCUCAUUUGCAUCUCAUGCUAAUGAGCAGCUCUCUUAAGUGCCCGCGUCUCAGGCUGGAGUCUCUGCUCCGUUCUCAGUGAGCGCGCGGGGCCCAGCAGUCUUGAACCUGGAGCCACCUUCUGGGAAAGGGGGCUAUUUAUGGUUCUCUCCGUGCGUCUGACACCUUCCUGCCUCCCGCAGGUCAGCAGUCUGGCGGGGCUGUCCUGCCUUUCUGCCCAGGGUCCAGAGCCCCAGAGCGGCUGGCACAGGAAGCCUUUGCAGAGGGGAAAUGAAAUGAGGCCAGGCUUGCUGGGUCGGGCGUUCGGCAGGCCCUAGCUCCCUCAAGCAUCUUCCAGGCCACCCUGUCCCUGGGCUGCCCCCACCCCCGAGGGAGAGGGACCAAGCUCAGGUGCACUGAGGACUGCUUUCCUGGUUUAGUGGCCUGGGGGUGGCCUGUACCUGGGCACGAGGGGACUAUGACAUCCUGAAAGUGUACUCAGCUUUUGGGGUGAUGCUGACGGCCAGAAGGCUGCCAAGCAAGACCAGACUCCAUCUUGAAGUCCUGGGGUCCCGGCUCCAAGUGCCCCCUACUCGGCCUGGCUUUCCUUCCAGCCAGUAUUUCCGUGUCUGUUAAUCACCAGGGUGCUGCGGGUGCAGUACCCAGACAGAAGUCUCCAUCCUGGGCAAGCGGAAGUGAGGAGAAUUCAGAUGUGUCAUAUACCAGUGCCAGCUCCCCACGAUGAAUAUAAUCAUUGCACUGCAAAUGGGUAGCAAUAAAAAUGUUUUUAAUGUUUUAAGUCUACAUCCUCCCAGUACUUAGCCGAGGCUGGAACCAUACGUUUAUGCUGGCGGUAAAGAAAUCUCUGUCUCCCUCUCCAGGCCAUUUGUACCCUGAGGCAAGGACAGUGCCCAUUUUACUCACCAGGUCCUAGUGUUUGGCACAAAGUAGGUGCUUAGUAAAUUUUUGUUCACCUCAGGUAGCGAAAAGAAGGAGUGAGACAGAAAAAAGUUCCCUUUUUUGAGCCUGUUUUCCCAGGAAGAAGUCAGGUCUGUGUGUUGUCUGAGGUCUUCUCUGAGUUUGAGGGGAACCCCUAUAUGUGUUGCUUGCCAGCCUCCAGCAGCCCCCUGAAGCCCCCUGGUUUUUACCCCUACCCUGCACCCCAUGGCUCCAGGAGGCUGAAUCUUCCAUCAGUGACACUCUUUGCUCAGGGAUCACACAAACAGUUCCCUCUUUGGUCACCUUGACAGACCUGGACAGAGGCCACACACACCAGGAGACUUUCAGAUGUUCACUGAAUGUAUACCUCAGGUGCAAGCCUGAUUCCCAAAGGGAAAGAGACAUGGGGAAGCAGCUAAGUGGAGAGCCUUCCAGAAUUCAUCGAGCAACUGUUGAGCAUCCACCAUGUGCCAGGACUGCCCUGGAGGUUGGGGACAUAGCAGUGACAGAAGAAUCUUCCUUUGAGUGCUAAAAUCCCGACAGGCAUGAAGAAAGUGGUGAAGGGAAACACUGCCCACGGGAAGAGGCCUCAGCCAGGGCGGUCUCACCAUUCCAAGCAGCCAGCAUCUUGCUGUCCAGGUGCGGCUUCGGCCGCUGCUUCCGGGCCUGGAGGAGUUUGUCCACUCCUGCUGUGAGCAGGCUCCGCACAGCCUCCACCUCCAGGCCGAAGCGGGCAGCGGUCAGCUCCAGUGAGUAACGGACAGUCAGCACGUUCUGGCCAUGCAGUUCCCCCUUGGAGUCCUGGGGAUCACAGCUCUCGUCCGAGGAGCCCACGUAUGCCUGGUGGCCCGCAGUCCCCUCCAGGAAGCCCCAGAGUCCCGCACCUGACAGGUGUUGAUGUUGCCCGUCUCUGUGAGCCCGUAGUGCUUGAUGAGGAGCUGGCCUGCGGUCAGCGGCUCUGUGGCGCCUGGCACAGCCUCUGGGAGGAGACGCUGGACCUCCUUGACUGUCCACACAUAGAAUGCGCCCUCCUUGGGCCGCAUGCCCCGCUCUGGGGGCGAAUCUGCAUCCUCAGCGCUGUAGAAGCCACCAGACUGCGGGAGGGACAGUCAUCAGGCCCUGUCACAGGCAGGGAAGGCCUGGGCCCUCCCGCAGCCAGGGCCGCCUGCCUCAGUGGACAUACCCGGUGGCUCAGACUCCGGCUAACAUACUGCAGGAUGCCUUUGGCAACAUCAGAGUAGAAUUCAUCUCCGGAGAUCUGGGUUUGGGGAAGGAGGCUGUGAACGGAGGCCACGGAGUGGCCCAGAUUCGUGGGUGUGAGGUUGUCCCGGGAAGGUGGAGGGGUCUGGGGUGGGGAGUGGCGUAUGGGAGGGGUUGGGAGGCCAGGGAGGCCAGGCUGGGCUAGGGCGUGACCUGGAAGGCCUGGGAGUAGGACACAGCAAGCUGCCCCUGGUCGUAGAGCAUCUUCUCGAAGUGGGGGACUUGCCACUGGCGGUCGGUGGAGUAGCGGUGAAAGCCCUGCGGCAGGCGGACCCGGGCUGGAGGUGGAUCCCGGCCUCCUUCCCCACCCCACGCCUCCACCGCACCCCAACUCCACCGCCCCCCUCACCUGUCCCACAUGGUCCCGGAUGCCCCCGUUGGCCAUCAUUUUCAGGGUGUGUAAGGCCAUCUGCUGGGCCCGAGAGCCAUCCUGGGCCAUGCGGUGGCCAAGCCAGUAGGAGAACAGGAAGCUCAGGAUCACUGCCAACAACGUGAGGGGAGGAUGAGGAGAGGCGGGGCUCGGGUUUACCCAACACACGGCCCCUGGCCAGGCUGUGGUCAGGAGGCCAACAGUCAGCCCAGAGGUCCUAAGGUCACCACCCUAGCCAGGCGGUGAACACCGUCAGAGCUGCACACAGUGGUGUACUCCCGUAACUCCAGCACUCUGGGAGGCUGAGGCAGGAGGGUCCAAAGUUUGAACACAGUCUGGACAAUUUAGCAAUUUAGUAAAACCCUGUCUCAAAAAUAAAAAGGGCUGGGGGUAGAA